rnacentral:lncRNA from 1 species
GCAGUUUCUCACUGAAACUUGGGCAAGGAGAGUUUGAGACACUGUGAUAGCAACACCAGGUGGGAUUUUCUGGAAUGGAUAAGUGUUGGCCAUUUCUCACUGGAAGAGCCUUCUGUUAGUGUGGAAUUACAGUUAUUUACCUGCUAAAUUAUCAGCUCUGCCUGACCAUGACUGCAUCCCACCAAGUAUCACUGAGCUUCUACAACCUGCUUGAAUAGCUGAAAAUUAAGAUCUUAAUUAAUAAAAGUCAACCUUGC